CUCUCCCUCUCCCGUUUUUCCAUUAGGCACAUACGUCCCAGAUAAUCAAAUUGAACUAAUGAAAUGUGAGUUACAUAUCAAAAAAAAUAUCACUGUUAACUUCUAACGCAUAUGAACUCAAUGUGACAUAAUACAUAUUUCAAUCAAACUAGCGAUCUAGAAAUGCACAAGAGCCUUAUAAACCCAGAGAAUAGGGCCACAACUCCAAAAUAGGGCCACAACUUCAAACAUCAACCACUAAAUCAUGGUCAGUCCAUGUUCAAACACAAUAGUCCAAUCACAGUCAGUCAGAGUUCAUUAACCAGGACAACAUUACAUAAUCCAUAAUCGACCACAAUGUUCACAACAACCCGCAAUGUGAGUUUGUCUGAAGCAUGUCUCUCUUCCAGUGAUGACACGAUUCAUAGAAUGAAACCUCUUUCUGAUGAAGACUCGCGAAUACUCUUCCAUAGAAGAAUAUUUCAAAGCGAGGACAAAUGUCCAGAAGAUUUGCAGGUAGUAUCAAGAGACAUCUUGAAGAAAUGUGGUGGUGUACCAUUAGCCAUCAUUAUAAUAGCUAGCCUACUUGCUAGUAAUCAACGAGUAAAGCAAAAAUAUGAGUGGAUGCAUUUGCACAAUUCGAUUGGCCGUGGAGUUACACAAGGUGAUAUUGUGAAGGACAUGAACAUGAUAUUAUCACUCAGCUAUUAUGAUUUGCCAUCCCAUCUGAAGCCUUGUUUAUUAUAUCUAAGCAUCUUUCCUGAAGACUUUGAGAUUAAGAGAGAUUGGCUGAUAUGGAGGUGGCUUGCUGAAGGGUUUAUCCAAUGUGACAAAGAAGAAACCAGGCUGUUUGAGAUCGGAGAGCGCUACUUCAACGAGCUCAUGAAUAGGAGCUUGAUCCAGCCAGCGAAAAUCAAUGACGAAGGAACGGUAGUAACUUGCCGUAUACAUGAUGUGGUGCUUGACCUUAUAUGCUCACUGUCAAGUGCGGAAAAUUUUAUCUUCAUAUUGAAUAAUGCUGAGUGCCAUGCACCUAAUCUGCAAAGGAAGUUUCGCAGAUUAUCACUUCAUAAUAUCAAGGCAAAGGUUCAGAAUCAUCAGUUUGAUAGCACCAGCCUGUCAAAAGUGAGGACCUUUGCUGUUUUUUCUCCCGUUGCUUGUGAUUGGUUGCCAUCUCUCUCAAGCUUCCAUUUUUUACGUGUGCUGGAUCUUGGAAAUUGUGGCAGCCGUGAAAGUAGCUCUGGUCUCAACCUCAAGUAUGUUCGGAAUUUAAUUCACCUAAGAUACUUAGGGCUCAAGGGUGCAGAUGUUCACGAACUCCCAGUGGACAUAAGCAAGCUGCAGCUUUUGCAGAUACUGGACAUACAAGGAACUAGAAUAAAUGAGUUACCUGCAAGUAUUGUUCAACUAAGAAAUUUGAUAUGCCUAUCUGUCGAUAGUGGCUUGAGGCUGCCAAAAGGAAUGGGGAACUUGAUGUCCCUUGAAGUGCUGGAACGAGUAGGCUUAUCCUCAUCUUCUCAUAUUGUGGAAGAGUUGAGGCAUCUGACAGAGGUUAUGACACUCGGUGUUGACUGUUAUAACAUGGACGAGGAUCUGAUUGAUAUAUUAAUCAAGUCUCUAGGCAACCUGCACAAAUUGCAAAAUCUGCAUAUUGAUGAUGGUGGCAGAUUGAUAGAUCGCAUGUGUGAAAGCUGGGUGCCCCCUCCAAACCUUCGUAGUUUUGAUUCAUGGGACCCCUUCUUUUUCUUUUCGUCGUUAUGCAGACUUCCAAAGUGGGUCAAUUCAAGGUCGCUUCCUCACCUCUCCAGCCUGGCCAUAGAUGUGGAAGAACUGCAAGGGGAUGACGUUCAGAUCAUUGGGAUGCUGCCUGCUCUUCGGUCUCUGCGACUUGCUGCAAAACGAGUGAUGGGAAGGUUGGUUGUGAGGGCCGAUGCAUUCCCAUCUGCGAGAUGCUGCAAGUUCUACGGGUUUCUGACUUGGCCAUGCCUUUUUCCACCUGGAGCUAUGCCAAGGGUUCAACACCUUGAUUUCUGGGUAUCUUAUUGGUCGAUCGCGAUUGGUGAGGUUGACUGUGGCAUGAACCACCUCCCUUCUCUCGAGCAUGUCAAGGUUACUCUGCAGCGUGAUAGGUUCACUGUUAACGGGGUCGAUGAAGAGGUGGAUAUAGCCAAGGCUUUGCUGAGGCGCGCAACAGAAGCCCAUCCAAAACGUCCCACCAUUGAAAUCUAUUCGACAUAAGUGCUCACAUUCCUUGCCGCCGGCCUUGAAUAAAAUCUUGGGAGCCAAAUACUAGUAAUCCAACCAGUCGCCUUUCGAUAGGCAACAAACAAUUCAUUGCGCCGAGGCAGGCACCAGCAUCUCGUUUGAUUCGUGUACCGCUGCAGCUCCCGAUAAGCAAGGAUCAUUCUCUCCAACCAAGUCUUGUUUUUGGAGGUCGUGAUAGAGAGCCACAAACGCUUGUCACUGGGGUUCCUUUGCAGUUGAUUCAGUUUUGGGUUGCCACUUAUCAUAGCAGUAGCUCAGUCUACCUCCUUUGGAGUUGAUUCAGUUCUGGAGCCACUGGUAGUGGAGACGCCUCGCCAGUUUGGAUUUCUCAACCGCUGGGAGAGAAACAGACAUGUCUGCCUGCCAACAUGUAAGGUCUGGACUUGGAUGCUGGCAUUCGCCACGGUUAGUACUCUAUCAGUGAACCUUUGAGCUUGCCAGUUUUCCUCCUAAGCAACACAGAGGUUUUACCAGUGUUCGAAGAUACAGAAAACAAUAAAUUGACUGCUGAAGAUCUACCGGAAUCAGUGAUACAUUUCGUUGCAUACGAUUCGCAAAUCAGAUGCAGAGGCGGGUGCCUGCAGAAACUGUAACUGAAAAAACAAAGCAAAACAGGGUGAUAUUUUUGUUUUCAGAUGAUUGCCUCGGCUUGUGUUGGAAGCAGAUGGUAUUAGGAGUAGAUGAUAUUACGCCGUAUUGUUGAGAGGUCGUACUGGAAAUGUACCGCUCACGUACCCUCAAGGCUACACGUGGUACUGAAAAUUGAAUCUGUGCGUACUCUUUAUGGGUCUUCAUGUGCAUGAAAAAACAGAACACCGAUGCCUGGAAUCAGUCAACAGGUUAUUGGUCUGUAUGUUGCUUGCUUUGUGCUUAGCGUGUUGACAGCCUGAAGUAAGGCGCGUACAAUUUACAGUUUUAUAGCCCAUGCGUGUGAACAUGUUAG